rnacentral:rRNA from 1 species
GGCUUACUAAACUCUUUGGCGUAAUUAAAGUAAGAUAAAGCGCGUUAUUCCUUAUGGGAGGAUGCGUGGCUGAUCCUGGUUGGUGAGGAAUUUUUUUCUUUACUAUUCAGGCGCAAGCUGGGGGCCUGUCGAUGUUGGCUUAUGUCUGGAGAGACCGUGGUGCUCAGCAUUUGCGGCAGUUCCGGUUGGUCGACCGGCAGGCACCUUUAGCGUAAAUGUUAGUACCCGAAAGAUGGUGAUCUAUGCUUGGCUAGAACGAAGCUGGGGGAAACUCUGGUGGAAGUUCGUAGCGGUUCUGACGUGCAAAUCGAUCGUCGGAGCUGAGUAUAGGGGCGAAAGACCAAUCGAACUAUCUAGUAGCUGGUUCCUUCCGAAAAUG